ensembl:lncRNA
AAUAUUUUGAUGCUCACAGAGCAUGUUCUGCCUACAAUUCAAAACCCACAAGUAAGAAAUUCAGCAGCUGGGGGCUUCCCUGGUGGCCCCUGGGCUUCCCUGGUAGCUCAGUCGGUAAAGAAUCUGCCUGCAGUGUAUUAGACUCAGGUUUGAUCCCCGGGUUGGGAAGAUACCCUGGAGAAGGAAAUGGCAACCCACUCCAGCAUUCUUGAUUGGAAAAUCCUAUGGACAGAGGAGCCUGGCGAGCUACAGUUCAUGGGGUCACAAGAAUCAGACACGACUUAGGGACUAAACCACCACUGCCAGUGGGUAGGAAUCCACCUGCCAAUGCAGGAGACUGCAUUUUGUCCCUGAUCUGGGAAGAUUCCACAUGCCAAGGAGCAUGUGGAACUAAGCCCAUGCACCACAACUACUGAGCCUGUGAGCUAGAGACCAAAAACUGCAACUGCUGAGCCCAUGUGCCGCAACUGCUGAAGCCCCAGAACCGGGGCUCCACCACAAGAGCAGCCACCACAAUGAGAGACCCACGCACGGCAACCAGAGAGCAGCUCCCGCUCACCACAGAGAAAAGCCCCCACACAGCAAUGAAGACCCAGCACAGCCAAAAAUAAAUAAAUCAAUCUUAAAAAAAAAUCAGCAGCUGAAAACUUUGGGAGAGAAGCCGCAGACCGCUGGGCCUGGACUGCCUUCUUCGGGUCAAUAGGAGGAUUCGUGUCUCUGCCUGUCCCUGACAUGAGAUUCAUUCCCGGUGCUGUGCAAAGUGUGGGGAAGAGAUUGAAAACAAAAUCUGCUCCUAAGGCCGAAAACCUCUCCAUGAUGAUAGAAGAGAAAGAAAACGGUUUGACUAUUGAGCAAGCGUUAAACCAGAAUGUGAUGGGUAUGGCAGGCAGUCUGCUGAAGGGAUGCAGACAGGAAGUAGCCUCGUUCUUAGGCUGCUCAGUGGGUACAUGAAUUACAUCUGCAGGUUUCACAACGAGGAGUCAGAUGACAGUUCGGGCCCAUCUUCUCCCCGGGCACUGGGAGCCAAGGCCUUAUCUCCUCUGACUUUGCAAAGGGACAGCUCCAGGCCCUGGAGGAAACGAUUGUGUCGUAAGACUGGCAAGUGGCUUCCUUGACCAUUAAAACGAUUUACCCAAGUUUGAAAGGACAGAGAAAAAGAAAUUCUGAAAGAAAAAGGGGGAGGUUGGAGAAGGCUUUUUCCCCCCUUUCAGCUACAGGCAUUGUUUUGCAGGUGCUAAUAUGGAAGACGUUAACUACUUGAUGACCAGGAGCAUGAAGCCCCCAGACCUACUGGCUCCUAAGGAUUGAUCAUGAUAACCCCUGUGACCCCGCCCCAUGACCUCACCAUCAACCAAUCAGAGAACAGUACAUGAACUGGAACUCCCCUUCCUCACCUUCCCUGUGAAAAGGCUUGCCUGAACCUCUUGGGGGGAGUUUGGGGGGGUUGAUCACAAGCUGCCUUGGACUCCUUGCUUGGUGCCCUGCAAACACUGCUGCACUUUCCUUCACCAACACUGUGUCAGUAGAUUGGCUUGACUGCUGGAGGGCAAGCAGAUCCAGGUUUGGUUCAAUAACCCAUCACUGUGUAAUAAAGUAUCCUUCUCAGAGCACUGAGAAGGUCUCAGUCUGCAGGACUGCUUCAGUGAACUUGCAUCAUUUCCACGGAUCAAUCUCUAGGUUCAGGUGUUAAAAGAAUAAAUAAAUCUUGACCUCUGUCACCUGCCACUGGAGAAGAAAGGAAGCUUAAUACUUGGUGACAGCAUUAUCAGCAUCAGUACCUUGUCCUGCAAAGGCGGUGCUAGUGGUAAAGAACCUGCCUGCCAAUGCGGGAGAUGUAAGAAAUGCGGGUUCAAUUCCUGGGUGGGAAAGAUCCACUGGAGGAGGGCAUGGCAACCCACUCCAGUAUUCUUGCCUGGAGAAUCCCAUGGACAGAGAAGCCUGGCGGGCUAUGGUUCACAGGGUCACAAAGAGUCGGACGUGACUGAAUCGACUGAGCACACAGAACCUGCAAAACUCAGCCAAAGAAAUCUUGCUCCCCCCACCAAGUUCCGUUGAAAGUGGGUGACUUAAUAUCAGGAAAAUGUAGUUUUGUGACCACAAGAGAAAUUGUUUCAACAGUGAAAUGUCAAAUUCAAAAAAUUAACUUCUAAAUUUUUUAAUGUAACCUUAUAAGAUAAUCAAAUUGUUUUUGAGGAUAUGUCAGAUUUUUUUUGUAACCCAUGAACUUGGUCUUUGAUAUCCUGCUUCAGCAUUAACCAGGUAUCAAUUUUAACACCCAGUCACACCCGUUCAGUGAAAAUGAAUAUUCCAUGCAUCUGUAGUCACUGAGGACUCUGAGUCUGUCAGACUGAGUCUUCACAGUUCUGAAUGGCUGGCCAUGGGGAAGUUGGGAGGGGUGAGGAAGGGACGAUGAGGCAAAUAUCAAAGGGUAACCAAAAGAGCUGAAGGAAGUGUGAGCUCAAGAGCUCUGACAAAGUUGGUCUUGCAGCUCACCGGACACCCAUGCCCCAGGCACUUCUGCUUUGAGACCAUGGCUGUCCAGGUGGUGCUAGUGGUAAGGAAUCCCCCUGCCAAUGCAGAGAAUGUAAGAGACACGGGUUUGAUUCCUGGGUGGGGAAGAUACCCUGGAGGAGGAAAUGACAACCCACUCCAGUAUUCUUGCCUGGAGAAUCCCACGAACAGAGGAACCCAGGGGAUUGCAGUUUGUGGGCCUGCAGAGUGGGACGUGACUGAGCACAGCACAGCCCUAUUCGGAUAAGCAGUUUAGCACCCAGACCCUCAUCUUGUCCUCACUUCUGCUCUGAGUUCUUUUGUCCAGAGAUCCUCCAGGGCUGGGACCUUGCCUUGUCUCCUUGUCUCCUAAGUCUUGAGGGUCUCCAAAGCCAACCUUGAAACCCUGAGCUUGGACCUGUGCCCCUUCUGGCUGGGGUCGGUUUCUCCAACAAGAACUUUCUUUCACUGCACACCCCUACCUCGGCUGAGUCCCAGGUUUCUAGGAUGGGCUGUUUCUGCUCCUGAUUUCGCCUGAGCUGAAACCCCAUAGUGAUGGGAAAGCUGCCAUAUUAAGGAUGGAAACGGGGACUGGAUCAGAGCUUUACGUCAAAAUAAGCUGGAAUUUAAAAAAUCUUUAAAAAUAAACAAGGAAAGGAAGAAAAACAUAUCAUAGGUACAGGCAUUUUAAAAAACAGCUCUUGUACCAAGCCUCAUAAUACCUGGCUUUGAGAUGAUACCCAUUGUAUCAGU